GACGAACGCUGGCGGCGUGCUUAACACAUGCAAGUCGAACGGAAAGGCCCUGCUUGCAGGGUACUCGAGUGGCGAACGGGUGAGUAACACGUGGGUGAUCUGCCCUGCACUUCGGGGUAAGCCUGGGAAAAUGGGUCUAAUACCGGAUAGGAGCCAUUUUUAGUGUGAUGGUUGGAAAGUUUUUUCGGUGUAGGAUGAGCUCGCGGGCUAUCAGCUUGUUGGUGGGGUAAUGGCCUACCAAGGCGGCGACGGGUAGCCGGCCUGCGAGGGUGGACGGCCACAUUGGGACUGAGCUACGGCCCAGACUCCUACGGGAGGCAGCAGUGGGGAAUAUUGCACAAUGGGCGCAAGCCUGAUGCAGCGACGCCGCGUGGGGGAUGACGGCCUUCGGGUUGUAAACUCCUUUCGCUAGGGACGAAGCUUUUUGUGACGGUACCUAGAGAAGAAGCACCGGCUAACUACGUG
rnacentral:rRNA from 1 species